AGGCCUUACCAGCUCUUGACAUUCGGGGUAUGGGCAUUGGAGACGAUGUCCUUCAGUUAGGCUGGCCCCAGAACAGGUGCUGCAUGGCUGUCGUCAGCUCGUGUCGUGAGAUGUUGGGUUAAGUCCCGCAACGAGCGCAACCCUCGCCCUUAGUUGCCAGCAUUUAGUUGGGCACUCUAAGGGGACUGCCGGUGAUAAGCCGAGAGGAAGGUGGGGAUGACGUCAAGUCCUCAUGGCCCUUACGGGCUGGGCUACACACGUGCUACAAUGGUGGUGACAGUGGGCAGCGAGACAGCGAUGUCGAGCUAAUCUCCAAAAGCCAUCUCAGUUCGGAUUGCACUCUGCAACUCGAGUGCAUGAAGUUGGAAUCGCUAGUAAUC
rnacentral:rRNA from 1 species